UCCUUUUGAAAACCCACUUCCCCUCUCCUUCUUUACAGCCAUGACCUUCUCCAUUCACAAUGCCUCAGAACUAACUUUGUUUAUCUCUCUCUUUCUCUCCAUAAAGCCAUGUAAACUAAGUUAUCUUUCUAAUAAAGUUUCUCAAAAAAAUUUGACAAUCUCCGCUCAAACAUCCAUCUUUAUUCUAAUCUUGCGCUCACUUAUACCACUAUUUAUAUCAUUGCCUCAGCUCUAGUUCAAACUCAGGGACUGGUUGUUACUAUUAAAUUCCUAAAGGUAUUUGUGGUGGAUAAUCUAGGGAUUGCUCAUAGGGAUAAUAACUUUGAAUGUGUACCUACUAUUAAGUUUGUUGCUGAUAAAGGUAUCCUAAUUAUGUCAGAUCAGAGAAAAUUGAGUUACUAAGUAAGGGUGAAUCUGUUUUUGUGGGAGUUGUGGUUGAUGGAGAAGCUAAGGAGGAUG
rnacentral:lncRNA from 1 species